GGGGAUUUAUCUCAGUGGUUCUAGAGUCUGCCUCGAAAGCACAAGGACCUGAGUUCGAUCCCUUGUACCCCCC
rnacentral:tRNA from 1 species